rnacentral:rRNA from 1 species
GACGAACGCUGGCGGCGUGCUUAACACAUGCAAGUCGAACGGAAAGGCCCUGCUUUUGUGGGGUGCUCGAGUGGCGAACGGGUGAGUAACACGGGAGUAACCUGCCCUUGACUUUGGGAUAACUUCAGGAAACUGGGGCUAAUACCGGAUAGGAGCUCCUGCUGCAUGGUGGGGGUUGGAAAGUUUCGGCGGUUGGGGAUGGACUCGCGGCUUAUCAGCUUGUUGGUGGGGUAGUGGCUUACCAAGGCUUUGACGGGUAGCCGGCCUGAGAGGGUGACCGGCCACAGUGGGACUGGGAUACGGCCCAGACUCCUACGGGAGACAGCAGUGGGGAAUAUUGCACAAUGGGCGGAAGCCUGAUGCAGCAACGCCGCGUGCGGGAUGACGGCCUUCGGGUUGUAAACCGCUUUCGCCUGUGACGAAGCGUGAGUGACGGUAAUGGGUAAAGAAGCACCGGCUAACUACGUG